ACUGUAUAACAUUUCUCCUGUUUGCUUCUGUUUUCAGUAUGAAUAUGCUCUGAGACAGCUGUAUGCCUUGGUCAAUGUCUGUGAAUCGGGAUAUCACAUUGACAGAAUACAACUAGCUAUGGAUCAGGUGUGCCUUGGAUAUUAACAACAUUUCUCAGUCAAGCAACCCAGCAAGAAGCGAUGAUUGCGUGGUUAUAAUCAAACCAAUAAUUUAACACAAAGCAAAAAAAGGUGGCCAGUUAAAAGCAUCCACACAGCAAACCCUGACAAACCGACGGUGGGAGCUCUCUUGACCGAUUCUAACCAGCUUGUGCACUUUAAAGCUUUUAGUGAGUGGGACAUUAAAAUACAUUAGCGAGUGGGUGUUUCACUCUGAAAGCUGCUUCUGAAGUCCCCCUGGAUUUGACAAGUUCAUCAGAGUCUUCACAAUUAAUUACCAUGUGUUUUCCCUACUUUCACUCUUAAGAUUUCUGAGGUAAAAAAACGAUUGACCGAAGGUGGGCUGAUAUGUUCAUUUGAUUUGAACUGAAUUGUGUUAGUUUUUUUUUUAAUUGUUCACUCAGGUGUGUUUUUUUUAGUGGUUAAGCCAUUUUUGAAAAUUACUUGAGGAAUUUAAAUAAAGGCCUGUUGUGAAUCAGGCAUUCUUUUAUAUAAUUGGGAGUUAAAGCUUUAAUGACCCAAGGGCACAAUGAUUGACUGAAUGUUUUUAUGAAGUGUGGCUCAAGAAUAAAGAGCCGUAGCUUCAUUUUGGGUUCUCAAACUCUACAAAAGCUGCUCUGUUUUUAAAAUUAUGCCGUUUUGUUAGGAAAUUAUCAAGGGUGCAAUGCCUGUUUGUGAGGAGGAUGUUACUCCCCUCAUUCAUCUGAAGGAUGCUGCCUGUGGCUGUUUAUAUUACUGAUUCUCAUGUAAUUGUAUGUUUACACAUCUUGAUGGGAGAAGCUGCAGUAUUUGGAGCAACCUGUGAAUAAUAAAAAGUUCUGUUGUUUCUGCA